GACGAACGCUGGCGGCGUGCCUAAUACAUGCAAGUCGAGCGGACGGAUGGGAGCUUGCUCCCAGACCGUCAGCGGCGGACGCGUGAGUAACACGUGGGCAACCUGCCUGUAAGACUGGGAUAACUCCGGGAAACCGGGGCUAAUACCGGAUAACUCUUUCCCUCACAUGAGGGAAAGCUGAAAGAUGGCAUCUCGCUAUCACUUACAGAUGGGCCCGCGGCGCAUUAGCUAGUUGGUGAGGUAACGGCUCACCAAGGCGACGAUGCGUAGCCGACCUGAGAGGGUGAUCGGCCACACUGGGACUGAGACACGGCCCAGACUCCUACGGGAGGCAGCAGUAGGGAAUCUUCCGCAAUGGACGAAAGUCUGACGGAGCAACGCCGCGUGAGUGAUGAAGGUUUUCGGAUCGUAAAACUCUGUUGUCAGGGAAGAACAAGUACCGGAGUAACUGCCGGUACCUUGACGGUACCUGACCAGAAAGCCACGGCUAACUACGUG
rnacentral:rRNA from 1 species